rnacentral:rRNA from 1 species
GCUCAGAACGAACGCUGGCGGCAGGCUUAACACAUGCAAGUCGAGCGCCCCGCAAGGGGAGCGGCAGACGGGUGAGUAACGCGUGGGAAUCUACCCUUUUCUACGGAAUAACGCAGGGAAACUUGUGCUAAUACCGUAUAAGCCCUUCGGGGGAAAGAUUUAUCGGGAAAGGAUGAGCCCGCGUUGGAUUAGCUAGUUGGUGGGGUAAAGGCCUACCAAGGCGACGAUCCAUAGCUGGUCUGAGAGGAUGAUCAGCCACAUUGGGACUGAGACACGGCCCAAACUCCUACGGGAGGCAGCWGUGGGGAAUAUUGGACAAUGGGCGCAAGCYUGAUCCAGCCAUGCCGCGUGAGUGAUGAAGGCCCUAGGGUUGUAAAGCUCUUUCACCGGUGAAGAUAAUGAC